AGUCUUCCUCUCUGAACGUGACACACCACAGCCCAUACGUCAACACAUCACAGAUGGAUCCACAGUUGUCCCUGUCCAGACCAAUGGGAUGAGUAAACCAACAUCAUGGUUUUCAGAGCUGUGGAGAACUGGUCUGGUCUGUGCUCCACCCAUGAGCAGAGCUGCUGUUCCUGGGCUUGUAUCUUUGCACCUGCUGUGGUUCUACUUAUUGUGGCUGUGUAUUUAAGGACCUGCUGUGGCUGUCAUUCUUCACCAGUUUCUUAUGUCCACAUUGCCUGUGUUCCCUCAAGGAGUCAGGAGUUCACAGCCGGUCAUUGAUCGCUCUCACAGCCAAACAUGCUCUGUGGAUUCACACCUGCUGCUCACCUGCCUGCCCACUUUCCACCGACACUCUGCCACUCACCUCAGACCUCCACCUGCCCACCGAUACCCCCAUCCCAAGCUCCGUUCUCCCGUACUAACAAAUGCCGCCCGAGGUCUCCAGUAACAAUUAGAACUCGCCCCUUCUCCCCACUGUCUGCCACUGAACUUUCCUGCCUUGUAAAUAAACCUUGGCUGCAAGUCUGCUCCUUGGGUCCAAAAAUUGUGAAAUUGUGAAA